rnacentral:rRNA from 1 species
UACGGAGGAUGCGAGCGUUAUCCGGAUUUAUUGGGUUUAAAGGGUGCGUAGGCGGAUGAGUAAGUCAGUGGUGAAAGCCUGCAGCUUAACUGUAGAAUUGCCAUUGAUACUGCUCGUCUUGAGGAUAGUUGAGGUGGGCGGAAUAUGACAUGUAGCGGUGAAAUGCUUAGAUAUGUCAUAGAACACCGAUUGCGAAGGCAGCUCACUAAGCUAUAUCUGACGCUGAGGCACGAAAGCGUGGGUAGCAAACAGG